rnacentral:rRNA from 1 species
UACGUAGGGGGCUAGCGUUGUCCGGAAUCAUUGGGCGUAAAGCGCGCGUAGGCGGCCCGGUAAGUCCGCUCUGAAAGUCCAGGGCUCAACCCUGGACAGGCGGUGGAAACUACCAAGCUGGAGUACGGUAGGGGCAGAGGGAAUUUCCGGUGGAGCGGUGAAAUGCGUAGAGAUCGGAAAGAACACCAACGGCGAAAGCGCUCUGCUGGGCCGACACUGACACUGAGAGACGAAAGCUAGGGGAGCGAAUGGG